rnacentral:rRNA from 1 species
UACGGAAGGCAGCAGUGGGGAAUAUUGCACAAUGGGCGCAAGCCUGAUGCAGCCAUGCCGCGUGUAUGAAGAAGGCCUUCGGGUUGUAAAGUACUUUCAGUCGUGAGGAAGGUGUUAAGGUUAAUAACCUUAGCAAUUGACGUUAGCGACAGAAGAAGCACCGGCUAACUCCGUGCCAGCAGCCGCGGUAAUACGGAGGGUGCGAGCGUUAAUCGGAAUUACUGGGCGUAAAGGGCACGCAGGCGGUUAAUUAAGUUGGAUGUGAAAUCCCCGGGCUUAACCUAGGAAUGGCAUUCAAGACUGGUUAGCUAGAGUCUUGUAGAGGGGGUAGAAUUCCAUGUGUAGCGGUGAAAUGCGUAGAGAUGUGGAGGAAUACCGGUGGCGAAGGCGGCCCCUGGACAAAGACUGACGCUCAUGUGCGAAAGCGUGGGGAGCAAAC